UCCCCUAGUAACUGCGAGUGAAGCGGGAAGAGCUCAAAUUUAAAAUCUGGCGCCCUUGUGGACGUCCGAGUUGUAGUCUGGAGAAGUGUUAUCCGCGUCGGACCGUGCACAAGUCUCCUGGAACGGAGCGUCAUAGAGGGUGAGAAUCCCGUCCAUGGCACGGACGCCCGAUGCUUAUGCGAGGCACUCUCAAAGAGUCGAGUUGUUUGGGAAUGCAGCUCAAAAUGGGUGGUAAAUUCCAUCUAAAGCUAAAUAUUGGCGAGAGACCGAUAGCGAACAAGUACCGUGAGGGAAAGAUGAAAAGCACUUUGGAAAGAGAGUUAAACAGUACGUGAAAUUGUUGAAAGGGAAACGCUUGAAGUCAGUCGCGUCCCGUGGAACUCAGCCUGGUUUCGGCCUGGUGUACUUUCCAUUGCGGGACGGGUCAACGUCAAUUUCGGCCGGUGGACAAGGGCGAGGGGAAUGUAGCGUUGCUUCGGCGACGUGUUAUAGCCCCGCGUCGUAUACGCCGGCCGGGAUUGAGGACCGCAGCACGCCCUUGUGGCCGGGGGGGUUCGCGCCCCCCACGUAACGUGCUUAGGAUGUUGGCAUAAUGGCUUUAAGCGACCCGUCUUGAAACACGGACCAAGGAGUCUAACAUGCCUGCGAGUGUUCGGGUGGAAAACCCUUGCGCGUAAUGAAAGUGAAAGUUGGGAACCUCCGCGAGGGGGGUGCACCGACGCCCGGCCCUGACGUUCUCUGACGGUGCCGCGGUAGAGCAUGUAUGUUGGGACCCGAAAGAUGGUGAACUAUGCCUGAAUAGGGCGAAGCCAGAGGAAACUCUGGUGGAGGCUCGUAGCGAUUCUGACGUGCAAAUCGAUCGUCAAAUUUGGG
rnacentral:rRNA from 1 species